rnacentral:lncRNA from 1 species
AAUGAUUAUGACAAUCAAUAUUCAUUGGUAGUAAUGGAUAAUUACAUAGAAGACAUUGAAAAAUAUGACAUGAUUAUCUAUGUUUUAAUUAAAGUAAUAACAUUCAUUUUCUGUUUUAUAUUAUAAAAACAUUGUUUUUCAUUACUCACAAAACAUUUCUUAACAAUGAAACAACUAAGUAGAUGACGAAAUAAAAUGACAAUCACAUCAC